rnacentral:sRNA from 1 species
AUUUUGAAGCAGAUCUGGGACCAGUAGAAGCUGCAACACGUUCUUUAUGCAAAUCUUUAGCAGACAUAAAAGUCGAAUUGGCUGAUCCAGUGUUGUACAUGUAGACGGAGGUGCCAGGAGAAGUUGGAGG